UUAAAGGGAUAUUCCAGCGUAAAAUUAAGUUAGGGUCAAACACAAUAUAACAACGAGUUAGACACCCCUUCGAGAGAUGAAUGUUGCCGACCGCUUGAUUCUCUAGUUAUACCAACUUUAGUAAUGACCGCACAAUAGCAAAACAAAGAGCCACGCGCUCAACCAAAUAGCCACUCUAUAGCCACAAAUAAUGCUCAGAACAGCACCUAACUUCAUCAACAGUACAUAUAGGGUCCUAGCCACAGCAUUAGCCACCAAACAUAUUUUUAGCUUUGCCUAAUUUCUUUAGCAAAGAGACUAAACACAACUCACCGUCUCCCUUCCAGCAGCCGCUUGUUUUUUGUGAGACCUCCGGGCGAGUCCAUCGACUGCAGUGGGAGGACACCGUUGAAGGAAGAACUUACAUUUAGCAUUGUAGCGACAAGUAACUACAGUUGUUGCUUUCCUGUUAGCUUGUUAACAUGAGCUAGCUUGCUAAAAAAAUUGGGAGAAACAAAGCAGUAACGCUAAAGGUGUAAUACAAAAAACAAUAUCACAAUGACUGACUUACAAUUUAAAGGAAAAGUAAGAAUAUAAUAUCCUACUCUGUCCUUUGUGUUGUAGAGUCAUCCUGAGAUGACGGAAGUGGAGCCAGUGUUGGACUUUGCCUCCUCAGGACGCUCAGGUAGGAGAAAUGCCCUGCCUGACAUCCUGGGCUCUCCGGCGGGUGUAAAUCCUGGAGACCUGCCUCUGAAGCUGGCUGAGCUGUCCCUCAAAGGUAAAGAAACUAAUGGCUUCCUUUACUUUCUGAUAAAACUGACCAGUAGACAAGUUCAAACCGUAGUCAUCUUAUCCUUUGAGUUUGUGGUGCAAAUCUUGAACCAAGCAAUGUAGUUUGACAGGAUGUAAGAGUGCAUGAUGACAUUAUUAGAAUAUGUGAUAGCGGAACUAAAAUCACCUGUGAUGCAGAAACUUAUAUAGAAAUAAGUAAAAUCAUUAUAAGAAAAUUGUUAAAUACAGGGCUGAAGCAGUUCAGUGAUGCAGAAUCCUGAUAGUUUUUCAAAUUAAUGACUAAAUUAUAUAUAAAAAGUCAGAUGUAACUAGGUAAAUAGUCACUCUUUAUCUUUCAGGACAAUUUUACACACUAGGAAAUUUUCUAACUGUACAGGACAAGGCAUCACUUUAAAUUCAAACUUAUCCAUUGCCAGAAACUAUUAGCUGUCAUUUCAGCUGUGCACACAAGGCUGAAGCAGUUGGUUCCUCAUGGCUGCCUGAUUUGGCACAGAUUUAGGGCUUGAAAUUCAGGGUUAAAAGGUAGCUGUGGUUAGCGGAAAUCAAGAUGGCUUUGUGAAAAGGUUGCCACUCGGGAAUUUGGUAUAUCUCACUAAUUCCAUGCCUCAUCACGACUCUGGCAACAGCGUGACUGUCAUGCUCAGUGAAUAUAGACAACAGUUGGGAUGAGUAUUUUUGGCUGAAAGGGUAGCAUAGCAAACAAAUGAGCAUGAUGCAUAAUCAAAUAGGCUUUAAUGGUGCUGUUUGUCUUGAAAGAUGAAAAAUCUAUGAAGUGAAAUUUAGUUUAAAAUGUCUUAUUGACCAAUUAUAGGACUUUAAUUUUUCCUUGAAGUGCAUCUGAAAAACAUGGGGUCAGUCUUUCAACAGGACAUGUGUAGAAUUAAGCUGAAAAGGCUUGAUGGAAAUGCAAUAUAGUAUUCCUAAGUAUGUUUAAUUAGUGUUACAUCUACUGUACAUAAGGAGCCGAUCCUCUUCACUAGAACUUGACUAAUGGAGCAUCAUAGUUAUCAUAUAUCACAGGGACUUAAUGUCCUCUAAAGCCAGAAAUGAUUCUGAAAAUUUUCUGAUGAAGUGAUGAGCGAGGGAGAGUUUUUCAGUCUAGGAUCUGAUAGAUAAAUAUUCUUAUUUCAACUCACUGUUCCAUUAAAGGGAUAUUCCAGCGUAAAAUUAAGUUAGGCUCAAACACACCGUAACACUGAGUUAGACACUCCCUCAAGAGAUGAAUGUUGCCCACCGCUUGCUUCUCUAGUUAUACCAACUUUAGUAACGACCGCACGAUAGCAAAACAGAGAGCCACACCUAGCCUUGAGAGCCUCAACUAAAACGCCACUCUAUAGCCACAAAUAAUGCUCAGAACAGCACCUAACUUCAUCAACAGUACAUAUAGGGUCCCAGCCACAGCACUAGCCACCAAACAUCUUAACUUUGCCUAAUUUCUUUAGCAAAGAAACUUAACACAACACACCUACUCUCUUCCAGCAGCCUCUUGUUUGUACAGAGACCUCCGGGCGAGUCCAUCAACUGCAGCGGGGGGACGCAGCUCAAGGAAGAACAUUUAUGAUCAUUACUUCAUGGUAAUGCAGUCAGACCAAGAUGUUUGGGCAGAAGAACUACCACGUCUGCAGUGCAAAAUGAUUAAUAUGGUGAUUAUUACUUCAAGUCAAUGAUUAAACAAAUGAUCAUAAAUGUUCUCCCUUGAGCUGUGUCACCCCACUGCAGUCAAUGAUGGACUUGCCGGGAGGUCUCGUAACUCUAUUUUAAGGACCCUUACUUAAUUUUAGGCCGGAAUAUCCCUUUUAAAAGACAAUAUUUGCUCACAACGGUUAACACUGCAAACUUAGACAAGGCGAUGAUGCAGAUUUUACAGUAAGAUAAGGGCUUUAAAUGGAGAAAAACGUUUUUAAAAACUCUUAAGCAGGGAAAAAAUGAUGGUGUCACAAAGUGUAAUGUAUGAUGAACCCCAAAAGAUUGUCUCAAAAUGCAAGUCUGGUCAUGUUCUGAAGAACUAGAAUGGCAUAACACCCAUGAACAGAUCUGUAACCUACACAAAAGGGAUUAGGAACAUUAUUUUGAAGGUGUUAAAAACAACCACCUACCUCAUAAUAUUUUGAGAGUUUUUUUUUAAAUUAUUUUUUAUUAAAAUGUUUUGUUUUCAUCAUAAAAAAAUAUAUAUUUUUAAAGUCUUGCAAAAAUUAUCUUGAAAAGGGGCUUGUCCUUUGACCACGGUGGCCUUAUAUUCAGGGAAAAACAGUUUUUCUGCAGUAUUUUGGCAGAAAGUUGGAAAUGUUUAAUGUUCACUCACAAGGACUAGAAGUAAUAAAUUCUCCUUUUUACAAGUAGGUUUUCCCAUUAGCUUGUGUUUUUUGGCUGUAUGUCUGUCUCAAUUUGUGUUAAUGAAAGGCUAGG